rnacentral:rRNA from 1 species
UCCGACCUCAGAUCAGACGAGAUUACCCGCUGAAUUUAAGCAUAUCACUAAGCGGAGGAAAA